rnacentral:rRNA from 1 species
GCACAUGUACUUAGGUGGCAGACGGGUGAGUAACGCGUGGGAACGUACCUUUUGGUUCAAGACAACGGCUGGAAACGGUCGCUAAUACUGAAUACGCCCUAGGGGGAAAGAUUUAUUGCCAAGAGAGCGGCCGCGUUAGAUUAGGUAGUUGGUGGGGUAAUGGCUUACCAAGCCUGUGAUCUAUAGCUGGUUUGAGAGGAUGAUCAGCCACACUGGGACUGAGACACGGCCCAGACUCCUACGGGUGGCAGCAGUGGGGAAUAUUGGACAAUGGGGGCAACCCUGAUCCAGCGAUGCCGCGUGAGUGAUGAAGGCCUUCGGGUUGUAAAGCUCUUUUGUGGGGGACGAUGAUGACGGUACCCCACGAAUAAGCCCCGGCUAACUUCGUG